ensembl:lncRNA
UGAAGCUUUCUUAUAAAUUUAUUACAUAAUAAUAAUAAUAAUAAUAUAAUAUAAGAAACAUAGAUCUCUGUGGGGUAUGUGUAUCACAACGUCAAGGGCGGGAGGCGAAUGGCCACACCUCCAUGACUCUGGAGAAGGAGAAAUCUCCUCCAAAAAUCCAUACAAAAUAAGGGUGAAGUCAAACUGACCCUGUAAAAUUAAAAACAGAACAAAAACCCACAGGUGAGUUCGGCCGGGAGGGAACGAGUGUGGAGGUGGGACGUGCGCCUGCGGCUCCACGCACGCGUGUGCGAGGUGCAAGCGUGUCGAUGCACAUGCAGAGUCCGUGUAGAGUGUGCACGUGCCCGGGGGCCGUGUGUGUGUGUGUGGGUACAUACGCACAUGUCUACAGGCAUGCCAGCAAUGGGGGAUGCACGUGUGCUGCAGGAAUCAAACCGGGACGCACUGUGCUGCUGCCAGAGCUCAUGGCCAUCGGCAACGAAGCACGUUGGGUUCAGUUGCCCAUGGCCAUCAGUAACAAAACACGUUGGGUUCAGUUGCCCAUGGCCAUUGGUAACAAAACAUGUUGGGUUCAGUUGCCCAUGGCCAUCGGUAACAAAGCAUGUUGGGUUUGGCAGCCCAUGGCCAUCAGUAACAAAACACGUUGGGUUCAGUUUCCCAUGGCCAUCGGUAACAAAGCACGUUGGCUUGGGCUGCCCAUGGCCAUUGGUAACAAAGCAUAUUGGGUUCAGUUGCCCAUGGCCAUCAGCCACAAAGCACACUGCCUUUGGCUGCCCAUGGCCAUUGGUAACAAAGCACGUUGGGUUCAGUUUCCCAUGGCCAUCAGUAACAAAGCACAUUGGCUUGGGCUGCCCAUGGCCAUUAGUAACAAAGCACGUUGGGUUCAGUUUCCCAUGGCCAUCGGAAACAAAGCACAUUGGGUUCAGUUGCCCAUGGCCAUCGGUAACAAAGCACGUUGGCUUUGGCUGCCCAUGGCCAUCGGUAACAAAGCACGUUGGGUUCAGUUUCCCAUGGCCAUCAGCCACAUAGCACAUUGGCUUUGGCUGCCCAUGGCCAUCGGUAACAAAGCAUAUUGGAUUCAGUUGCCCAUGGCCAUCAGCCACAAAGCAUAUUGGGUUCAGUUGCCCAUGGCCAUCAGCCACAAAGCACACUGCCUUUGGUUGCCCAUGGCCAUCAGUCACAAAGCGCGUUGGGUUUUGGUUCCUUUUCUCCUAACGUCAGAGUUACAGAGGAGGGGUAAUGAAGAAUGAGGAUCGAUGGAUUUUGUUUGGACAAAGGAAAAAAUACCAACAACUGUUUUUUUUUUUUUUUCUUAAAAAUUCCCUUCAAAGCCAGAAAAAAAGAAAGGAAAAAAAAAAAAAAAAGGAAAAAAAACCAACCCAAAAGUGUCUCCCUUUGUACAGAAGUAACCCAAUGUCGAGAAGCCAUGAGCAUCACAGUGAGGGCAGCGGGCGCCGCGCGCUCGGCCUCCUCCUGAAUGGCUUGUCAAAGCGAAGCUCUCACUGGGUCCGGGAUGCUCGGGGUGGAGAUGCCAAUGCCAUCAGAGUCGAUCUAAAGUCAGAAAAGAGCUAUCUACACAUGGGAAAAAAAAUCCUCUUUGCUUCAGCUGAGAAAAAAAACAAACAUAAAGGUUAAGUAGCAGCAGCUGCGUGAGCUGGAACGGUGCGUUCUGUCGGGGUGGGACCAGAAAUGAUCGUGGGAUGCGACCGCUGUUGGGGCCGAUCCACACUCACUGCUCCUGGGGGGCUGUGCGGGGCCGUCUCCAAAGCCCUGAGCCCAUGCUCAUGGAGCUCCGUGUGCAUCCGGCCGUGGGCACUCAGAUGGGGGGGGGAGGGCAUGGAAGGGGUGGGCACUGAGACGGGGGGGAUGGGGCAUGGAGGGGUGGGCACUGAGAUGGGGGGAUGUGGACAUGGAAGGGAUGGGCAUUGAGAUGGGGGGAUGGGGCAUGGAGGGGUGGGCACUGAGGUGGGGGGUGAGGGCAUGGAAGGGAUGGGCACUGAGAUGGGGGGAUGGGGCAUGGAGGGGUGGGCACUGAGGUGGGGGGGUGAGGGCAUGGAAGGGAUGGGCAUUGAGAUGGGAGGAUGAGGGCAUGGAGGGGUGGGCACUGAGAUGGGGGAGUGAGGGCAUGGAAGGGAUGGGCACUGAGAUGGGAGGAUGGGGCAUGGAGGGGUGGGCACUGAGGAGGUGCUGUGCUGGAAGCAGGGCUUGGCGCAGACCCGAGCAGCCGCGGGGAGGGGGCGGUGGCACAGCCAUGGUUGGGUGUCGCCUUCUUUUGUGUUCUCCUGACUGGGACGAGCCGUGGUGCCGCAGGGCCGUGCCCCGCGGUCACGCAGUGUUGUCCAACACAGGUACGGCUGCAGCUGCUUGGCACGGUGGGAGCUGGGGGGCACACGGCGGCGCGGGCGCCAGGCAGAACUGUGUGCCCACCGUCCAUCUCCAGGCCCGGGGGGAGGACGGGGCAGCAGGAAGGUAAGGAAGGCUCUUUGGAAAUGGCAAGAAGGCGUUCAGCUUCCCGGUCCCAGACCGAACGUCCUGCAGAAUAGUUUCGCUCUGCAGUCUUCUGGCCCCUCGCGGAGAGGGGCGGCUGCAGGCGGGGGUCUCUGGGGGUCGCCCCAGAAGCAGCUGCGGAAGGGGCAGAGACCCGAACUCCUCGGACGGGGCCGGAGGAGCUGCCUGCACUCAGGGCAACACGGAACACUCCAACCUGUGCACCGAGCAGCGGGGGCUCAGGGCUGUGCCGGGGGGGUGCCGGGCAGCGGGACUGCGCUGCUCCCUGGGGUGGGGGCUGCCGGGGUCUGCGUUACCUGCAGGAGUGGGGAGAAGGGAAAUGGGGAUGGGGUUGGGAAUGGGGAUAGGGAUGGGGAUGGGGAUGGGAAUAGGGAUGGGAAUUGGAAUAGGGAUGGAGAUGGGGAUGGGGAUGGGAAUGUGGACAGGGAUCGGAAUGGGGAUGGAAAUAGGGAUGGGAAUAGGGAUGGAGAUGAUGGAAUAGGGAUGGAGAUGGGGAUGGGGAUGGGAAUGUGGACAGGGAUCGGAAUGGGGAUGGAAAUAGGGAUGGGAAUAGGGAUGGAGAUGAUGGAAUAGGGAUGGAGAUAGGGAUAGGGAUGGGAAUGUGGACAGGGAUAAGAACGGGGAUGGGAAUAGGGAUGGGAAUUGGAAUAGGGAUGGAGAUGGGAAUGGGGAUGGGAAUGUGGACAGGGAUCAGAAUGGGGAUGGAAAUAGGGAUGGGAAUAGGGAUGGAGAUGAUGGAAUAGGGAUGGAGAUAGGGAUGGGGAUGGGAAUGUGGACAGGGAUUGGAAUGGGAAUGGGGAUGGAAAUAGGGAUGGGAAUAGGGAUGGAGAUGAUGGAAUAGGGAUGGAGAUGGGGAUGGAGGAGGUGGGAGCAGGGUGCAGGUGCCGGGCUGCAGAACCAAGCUGGGCAGCCUCGGCUGAACCUGCAGAGGUGCAGAGGUUUGCAGCACGACGAGCUGCAGCACGCAGGACAGCGCAUGAGUGACAGGCGUGGGACAUGCAGCAGGAGAGCACAGCGUGGGGCGCGCGGCCGAUGGAGCAACAGCACAGAAGCCCCACGGCGUUCCCGCAGGAAGCCCCAUGGGCAUUCCCACAGCACAGCGGGGCGGCCCUGCAGAAGCAGCGCGAGGGGCGGAAGGGUGGGUGGGUGGUCUGCAGAAAUCCCAGUGCUCUGCAGGGUUUGUGGCAGUCUGCAGGGCACAGGGCUGCGGCCAUGCAGCGAUGCAGAGCGCCCACAGGACGCGGCCGUGCCGCCUCGCCAGGCGUGGGCUGAUGGAACAGAAGCAGCACGAAGGAAGGUUGGGGUUGUGGGGAACACACUUGGCUCCCACACGGCUCCGAGAUCCGGGCACUGCAGAGCAGCAGGCGAGGACGAGAUGCACGCACAGCACGGGGGACUGCAGAGCAGCAGUGGCUGCCGCACGUCUGAGGUGCAGGACCGCCUCUGUGCGUGAGCAUGCCGAGAAAGUCUGGUAACCAGAGGGCGCUCACUCAUGCCAGGGUGGGCACAGGGGGUGCAAUGUGGGUGACGGGGGGCUGCGGGGAGCUGAGGAUGAAGGGUGGGGGCAAUGAGAUGCUUGUGUCAGAAUGCAGAGAGACCAUGAGGAGGGACUGGGGAGCGUGGCGGGGUACGGGGGGCGAUGGGAGCGCGGUGGUGGGGCUGGAUGGGACCAGAGGUGGUAACAGCACAGGGUGGGAUGUGGGCACACGGCAGCGCAGCAUUGGCACACACAGGAGGAUGGGCGCAGCAGCAAAGCCGGCCAGCAAGGAGGCGGCCUCGGGUGGACGCGAUGGCUGCAGCCAAAGCUGGGACGCCUCCCGGCUCCCCCGGUAUUGGGCGGGAGGCCCGGAGCACCCUGGGUAUCUACAGCGGGAUUUUUGCUUGCAGAAUAAGAAGGUACAGGUUGGGAGCCCCUUGCCUUCCCCAUGCAAGCGCUGGGGCGUCGCACGGGGAGGGAAGAAGCGCUGUGGAUACACAGAAUUCAGUGGUUUCCGGAGAGCUCUGGAUGGAGCCGCACGGGCCGAGAGCUCAGGGUAAGGAGACAGCACCGCAGCCGCCGGGGCCCAAACGAGGGGCUCAGCCCGGGGCCGCGCACAGGGGAAGGGGCCGCAGCCCCAGCCCUGGGCCUUCCACUGGCUGAAGGUUGUAAAGGUUCGUAGAUGUGUGAGGGUCAGAAGGAACCUCCUUGUCCUUCCCUCUAGCACCAGAAGAGUUAAUGCCUUCACGGGGGACUCGGCUUUUGGGGAACACCGGUCACCAAGCCGUCCCCUGGCCACCCCUGAGCCUGGGCGCGCGAUGCCGGCGAGGGGAGCGCAUGGGGUGCGGGAACGGGAGCGGGGCUGCUGCCCCCCCAGCACCGGGGCCGCUCCAGGCCGUGGGUCUGCGGGCUCCCCGGCACCGGAGGGAGAGCAGCGCCCGGGGAGCGGGGCCUGGAAGCUCUCCACCUCCAUGCGGCUGCCUCUCUGCCUGCGGGGAUGGAAGACGUGGUGUGUCCCAAAAACCGAGCGGAUUCGUUGCUUCGUGUUUCUAAAUCUUUAAAAUCCGGAGCGUCUGAAAGGAGCUGUUGGGUUUUUUUUUUUUUAAGGUUUUUUUUUCUUAAAAAGGCUCUUUUUUUUUUUUUUUUUUUUUUUUUUCUUUUUUUUUCUUUUUUUUUUUUAACAUUCAUUCAGUCAGUCGCUAAAAAGUCCCACGAGCGAUGGGCGUCCUGGGGGAGGGGUGCGGGCACCGCCUCGUCAGCAUCUCAACACGUCUAGAGAUAAAUAGAUUUAGUAAAACUAUAACAAAAUUGGGUGGCUAUAGCUAUAGAUAUAGAUAUAUAGAUAUCUGUUCUCUCUUUCCAAAUAUAUAGCUGAUCGAUUGAUUAAAAAGAUGCAAAAUAAGGAUGGCAAGGACAGAGUGGGAAUCCUGUAGGUCAGAAUCGUCUCUUGUAGAUCAUCAGCUGCUCUCUAUAUAAAUGCACGGAGAUUAAAUAUUACCCAUCAACGCGUCCCCUUGGAAACAAGACCCCAAACCAAGAGGAAACCAAACACCUCCCCCCACCCCCCACCCUCACCGUUGGCAAAGCGUUUGCUGCUGGGUCCCCACCAGCCUCCCUCGACACCCCCCAAACAUGCUUCAAUCCAUGCGGUUUCGGUCCCUCUCCUCUCUCGCACGGCUCCGGUCUGCCGGGAGAGCCGGACGAGGGGCUGCGGGGCGAGGAGCGGGGCGGGAGCGGGGCGGCCCCCCC